CUUUAUAGAAACAUAGAACCAAUCCAUAACACCCAAAUUAGAGAGCAGCAAAUCCUAGACAACACAAAGUUACUAAAAAAUAGCAAAAAAUAACCUAAGUCUAGAGAUGCAAGAGAAAGCAAAAGAAAAACUUUGCACGCUACAUUGGAUAUACUCUAGAGCUAGGAGAUCCAAAUCAACCAAAAAAAUGAAAGGCAGGAAAAGGGAACCUUACAAGGCUAGCCCAAAUCAAACAAAACUUGAAACGAAAAACUAAGUUGAAAUGAGCAACUGCCCCAGACUGUCACUUGUAAUUGUUGAAAUUCUCUGGUAAUUGCUAAAACUACUGGGGGGGAUUAGUGAUUUAGGAAGUAAUUGAGAAAAACAUAUAUAUUGAGAAACAGGGGAGACAGAGAG
rnacentral:misc_RNA from 1 species